rnacentral:rRNA from 1 species
UACGUAGGGGGCGAGCGUUGUCCGGAUUCAUUGGGCGUAAAGAGCUCGUAGGCGGUUUGGUAAGUCGGGUGUGAAAACCCCAGGCUCAACCUGGGGACGCUACCUGAUACUGCUAUGACUUGAGUCUGGUAGGGGACCACGGAAUUCCUGGUGUAGCGGUGAAAUGCGCAGAUAUCAGGAGGAACACCAGCGGCGAAGGCGGCGCUCUGGGCCGGAACUGACGCUGAGGAGCGAAAGCGUGGGUAGCAAACAGG